AGUGUGCCUAAACCGUUAUGCCAAAGAUCUAGGAUGAAAAAUUUCUCAAGCAUGUAUUACUUUCACCCUUUCUUAUUAAAUGCAUUUUUUAUCACUUCCCAUAUUAAGAUGUUAAAUACUGUAGAACCAUAUGGAAAACCUAUGUCUUCCAACACUAUGAGUUUUAGAGGUUUGCAAGCAUGAAUGCUUCUGAUCAACGGAACUGAAAUUUAUAUCUCCAACGUCAGAUCUGCACUAAACAGUGGCUCAUUAGAUGAUGGAUUAGCAUUAGAAGAACAUACCACUGCCUCUUGGAGCCGAAUGAUCCAGGUACCGGGAGGGAGGAAAGCGGCAGGUAGCAAGGCAUAACCGGCAUAAGAAUACCAAAGCAUCUCCUGGUGUUUUAUCCAUAUGCUAAGUGAAAUUGAUGGUUUGGUACUAGAGAGCUUUGGAGCAAAGGAAAAGACUUAACAUAAUAUCAAGGAUUUAUCCAAAUUUUAUCGUUGGUCCAAGUGCAUAUCUUUUUGCUUUCAACAAUGGGGUUGAAGAUGUGAACAUAAUACAGCUUAAAGCAUGGGAGAUGGAGAAACCUUUGAUGAAUGAAAUUUAACUAUUCAAAGUUAACAACAUAUGCUUCUUUAAAUGCAUUUUUGCUUUUACUUUUUUUUUUUUUUCUUUUGUAUGCUUCUUUAAUCUACAAUGUCUGUAAUAAAAUAAUGGAUUUAUCUAGUAAAACAUUGAGAGAGUUUUUAAUUCCCAUUUUUUUUUUCAUUUCCAUGUAAUUAUCUUUGCUUAGCUGCUUCAAAAUUAAAAAAUUAUGUAUUGGAGUGUGCAGGUUGAAUUUUUUUUGCACGGCUCUUUCUGGAUGAACAAGAAAAAUCAUGAUUAACGUGAGGAGUAACGAGAGACACUUACAGCCACAUUUGGAUUAAAUCAUUGAAUUUGAGCCCUAGAGUAUUAUUGAUUUACUAAAAACUUUUUGAUCAUUUUGAUACAAAAGGAUCUGCAUAUGAUAUUUAUUGAGUUAGAGAAAUCAUAUGCAAAUAAUUGUUAUCUUAUCAAACUAAAGAAAUAUUAUGAUUAACUUUUCAACUUAGUCAUAAAUAUUUUACCGAUCAUAUUUUUAUAAAUAUGACUAAUUUUUUUUAAUUAAAAUUAAAAAUAUUACUAAUUUCUUUUAUUAAAGGAAAAAAACAACAAUAACAACAA